rnacentral:lncRNA from 1 species
AAACAACAACAUAACCACAUGUGAAAGCAUCGAAACUAACUAAACAUUUAUCCACAUACAUGUCAUUUGAUUACAUUUUAAUCAAACACAAAUAAGCUAUUACAUUUACAUUCAUUUUAUCCAUUCAUUUACAUCACAUUGGCUUUUAACCUUUUAACCCAAAAUAUACGGAUUACAUCAUUUAUCCUUACUAGUUCAACAUA